CCCUAUCUCACUGCAUCUGGGGUACAGCCAAGCUCCACUGCACUUCUGCCCUCCCCGCUGCACCACUCCCCACCCCUCUCUGUAUAUGUGGGCUUCAUUUGCUGUUGCUGCUGAGUGGUAGGAAAGAGAAGCUGCCUUGGUGCAUGUGUGCAAUUAUAGCGUGUCGUUAUGGGGAUGGGAGCUGCACAGUUUGGGCACGUCAGUGCAGGGCUGCAGGCUGUGUCUGCCUCCAGUGCUGUGCAUCACUUGCUCAAGGGAAGGCCUGCAAAGAAAUAACGUGGAACCCAUCCCAACUGUAAGGCUGGAGAGGCUCCACCGUGCCAUUACUCAGCGCUUGGCGGGCUCUGUGCUGGGGCCAGCUGGGAGGUUACGGCUCUGCCUUCCAAAUGAUGACAGCCACGGAAGGACACAGCCCACAGCACUGGGUUGUGCGUGGGGAUGCGUGAGGCAGAGCUGCGAGGACAGAUCCACCGAGAGGUUCCUGGCCCUGCUGGUAAUGAAUGACAGCUCGCCUGGGAUGUUGGGCCGGCCAAAACCCAGCGCUGGAUAAGUUAGAUUGAAAUUAAUACAGCGUGGAUACAGCACACAGCCUGGGCAUGGCAAAUCGUCCCAGAUUAUCCCCAGAGUUACUGCAGCUGUGAAUUAUACGGAGGUUAACGUUUGGAUUUCAGGCCAGAUAAUUUACGGUGACGUCCAGGGAUGGGCUUCUAUCUGCUGCUGAAAGUUCAUCUGGAAUAACAAUACUUGGGAGAACCCAGUGCUUGGAUGCACAGAAAUCCCAGGCCCUUCUGCCUGAAAGCAAAGAUGUUUCCAUUUAAAAGCACUGUUAGAAAGAACAAACAUCUCCCAACUGCUGACUGAGGGCUCCUCUGCUCCGCCGCCGUCAUCUGGUUUGGAUUAGGGCUGGAUAAGGUCCCGCUCUGCCACAACACUGAGGAGGGGAGCUUGGAGCUUGUCUACUCACCCCACGUCUGAAUUGAAUGUGGCACACGACUGCAGGCCAAAGGGGCUCCAAUGGCACAGGGCAAUGGGAGACGGAGCAGCUCCUCCCCCUGGGAGCCCCUUCCAGCAGCGCAGUGCCAUCCCAAACCAUGGGAAACCACCGUGAUGGGCAGCAAUGACCCUCAGCACGGGGAUGCUGUGGGGUUUGGGGGAUUCCUCCCGAGGGAAGCCCGGGAAUAGGGAGCCUCUGGAUCCAGCUCCAGUGCUUCCUGUGCUCGGUGCUGACACAGAGCCUGCCCAGAGCCAGCUCUUGCCAUAGCUGCUAAUGUGAUAACGUGAUGAAUUGGAAACACUUUGCAGAAGGAGACAGAGGGAAAACCAGAGAACUUGUCCUGUCAGCAGUGAUGUUCAAGCAGCAUCUCAAGGGGACGGAUUCCUCCAGGAAUACUCAUCCCCACCUUAGGACCUGCUUCACCCCACCCCCGUGCCUGCAGGAGCACCCAUGGAACCUGGAGGCUCAUCACAGUCCCACAUGCCAGGCGGAGCAUCCCUGUGCUUUCCUGCACUGGUCUCAGACAAAGGACAAGGAGCCCUUCUUGAGAUGUCUGCUGGCAUUUCGGAGGGAAGGGGCUGCCAAGUGUUGAGCAGGAAGAGAUGGUUGGUGGGAAAGAAUCUAACUCAGAAAACUCAAAGCAUACGAGCAACAGAGGGAGCUCAGCUGAAAGCCACGUGCUGAGCUCCGGCUUCAGCCUCCCAGGCCUUGGGUGCUGUGGGGCCCAUGGGCCGUGGGUGCAUCUCAAGAGCUUCCCAGGUCUCAAUAUUGCCCCAUGGGGUGGAUAUGCAGCCCUGGGAGCAGCACACAGAGAUGAGCCGUGCAAAGUCCCCACCGAGGAGCCACGCUGAGCCCCCAUGAGCUCAUUCUCUACCGAUAAUCCAUCUGCAUCCUCCUGGCUGAGCUCAGGCAGACAGAUGCCUGAUGGUGAUUUGGGUUUGAACAGAGUGCAGAUUUAAGGCCGCUCUGAGCCCUCUCCUGUUGGGGAAAAGUGUGUGCUGCGUUUGGGCAGAGGAUCUGUGUCAGAGAGUGGCAGGACUUGGGAGCUCACCCCACAGCAAGGGGUGUGGAAAUAGGACUCCAUCUUAAGCAGGGAGCCCUGGCAUGAGUCCUGGCUGCGGGAAGCCAGCCCGGGCAAUGGAAGAAGGGUUUUCCAUAGCUCCGUUGUUCGGUGAAUGUGUUGGGCGGUUGCAUCCAAUAUGCAUUAUAAAGGGAAACCCAAAACGCGUGGCCCAUUUGCGCUGCAGCACCGCAACGAUCCCAUCCCUGCGCUGUGGGGCAGGAGGAGGGAGGUGGAGACGGCCCCUCCUGCCCAGGGCUGCUCGGAGCCGGGGAUGCAGCAGUGCCGAGCCCUGCCAGGGAGCCCCGGCUGCCCCCGCCCCGCGAGCUGAGCACAGCUCCGAUUCCAGGCGGCGUGGAUGUGUCGCCUUCCUACAGCAAGUCGGUGGGGCAGAGCAGCCAACGCGUGCCAGCGUGGGGCUGGACCAGGGCAGGCUGCUGCAUCCUUGUGGGGCAGCGCAGGGGGAGAACGGGAGAACACAGCAUUUUUGAUGCUGAGCCCACACACUCCGCAUUUUUUGCGUCCCACCCAGCGGCACUGCAGCACCCGUAGGGUGAGAGCCCGGGAUGCACUGGAGCAUUCUCCAAGGGCUGAACGUGGGGGACAGCAGCGCUAUGGGGGGGCGGAAGGGGGGGGGGGCUGAGCUCUGCAUCCCAGCGCCCAGCCCGAAUCCCCGCAGCAUCCGCGGCCGCGUUUGCCCCCUAGCGCCGGCAGCCGCCCCGCACAGCACCGCGCUGCGGGAAGGGCCGGGACUGAGAGCUGCGGGAAGGGCCGGGGCUGGGGCUGAACCCACAGACACCGCUGUUCGAAUGUGCCUCAGUUUACCCGGACAGACAAAGGGAACCGCCGCCUUCCAGCGCUGUCUCUGGGCAGACACGGGGUUUCUGCGGUGCUUCGGGCACGUUGCUAAACGAGAGGGAAGGUUUAGUGCUGUGGCCUGCAGCCCCCAGCAGCAGUAGGUGAUGCUGGUACCCAACACAUGGACUGCCUCCACGAGCAGUUUGGAGGCUGCUUGACCCCUCUCCUGCACCAGAAGUGCUCCUAUGCUUGGUAUGAGUAUUUCACGCAGCUCCAAAGAUACGUAGUCGCAUCGCUCUGUAAAAACCCAGUGAGAUCCUGCUGGAAACGUGGAUGUGGGGUGACGGUGCAGAGCCCGUUGCCGUGGGGUGUUUCACACUCCCCUCUGGUUUAGGGCUGCUCCAUCUCCCCCUGUCCUCAUCCCCUGGGCUGCGGAGGGAGCACCUCGAUGCUGGGUGUGACGGCAGUGCGGAGCCAGCUGGGAGAGGAACAGCUCGUUAGGCUGAAGGUGCUAAUCGGCAGCUAAUUGCUUGAAAAGGGCGAGGCUGGCGUAAGGGGAGUGCUUUAGUGCUGCGUGGAGCUGUGCUGCCCUGGAGGUGAGUACCCGGCGUCUGCUGCUUGGGGGGCUCCCUGGGUGCUGCAGAGGUGAUUUCCCUUCUGUACAGCGUCCCCCAGCCCUGCUGGUCUGUGCUGGGGGGUGGGGGUAGGAGCGAGCUGUUAAGUCUGGCUGCUCGAGGUUGGAGGGUGCUGCUCGUGGGGCUGCAGGUGAUGUGAUGGUGGGCUCACCCCUGCGGGUGUAUCUCUGCACCACGUGUGUCCUUAUGCUCUGCAGGCCCCUUGUGGGGUGAAAAGGUGCUGCUGGCCCCUAUGAUGAUGCCAGGCCAACGCAACUGUGCCACCUGUAGGGAAUACCCAUUUCAUAUCCCGCUGUGGAACCUCUAUCCCUCAUGUUGACUGGCUCUGAAUUAGCACAAAACUCUGCUUUCCUGCCUCAAGCACUGCCUGCGAAGCAACCUCAGCCUGGCACUUGUGCUGUGCCCCCAACAGGGUGCCCAUCACCCCACGAGUGGGGUUGGGACCCCUGAGCAGGGGCUGCGUCCCGCCUGUGCUGUGCCCAUACAUCUGCUCCACAGCUGGAGGCACUGAGUGGCUCCGGGGUUGGCAUCCUGUGGUCAGCACUCCCUCCUCCCAGCUGGGUUCUGCUCCAAAGGGCUUUGGGAUGGGAAGAGGUGCAGCACUGCUAUAGCCCUAUGACUGCUUGGAGGAUGGCUCUAUGCUGCUCCCCCCCUGCGUGCUGGGGAGAGCUGCCUGCAGGCAGCAGGGGAGCUGGCAUCCUCAUUUUUUAAGUCUUAUUCACUUUCCUGUGAAUAAGCUUGGGAGGUUUAAUAAUGAAGUUGUUUGUGUGAGCCUGUGGAUGCCCAUUGCAUGCAUAAGGGGAGUGCAGAUGAAAUGACAGAGUAAGGAGCAGCCUCCCACAUGUUUGGAACUGCUGCAGAAGAGCUUCUUUUUGGGGUGCUUCCAGCUUUGCUCCGAAUUUUCCCUUCAAGGGACUUUGGAAGCUCCUCUCACCCUUGGAUCAAAGGUGUUCAUAUUUGGGACAGAUCCACUUACUGCUUGGAAGAGCG
ensembl:lncRNA